rnacentral:rRNA from 1 species
GAUGAACGCUGGCGGCGUGCCUAAUACAUGCAAGUCGAGCGAACGGACGAGAAGCUUGCUUCUCUGAUGUUAGCGGCGGACGGGUGAGUAACACGUGGAUAACCUACCUAUAAGACUGGGAUAAUUUCGGGAAACCGGAGCUUAUACCGGAUAAGCUUUUGAACCGCAUGGUUCAAAAGUAAAAGACGGCGGUGGUGUCACUUCUAGAUGGAUCUGCGCUGCAUUAGCUAGUUGUUAAGGUAACGGCUUAUCAAGGCAACGAUGCAUAGGCGAGCUGAGAGAGUGAUAGGCCACCCUGGAACUGGGACACGGUCCAGACUCCUACGGGACGCAGCAGUAGGGAAUCUUCCGCAAUGGGCGAAAACCUGACGCAGCAACGCCGCGUGAGUGAUGAAGGUCUUCGGAUCGUAAAACUCUCUUAUUAGGGAAGAACAUAUGUGUAAGUAACUGUGCACAUCUUGACGGUACCUAAUCAGAAAGCCACGGCUAACUACGUG